AUACUUACCUGGCAGGGGAGAUACCAUGAUCAAGUAGGUGGUUUUCCCAGGGCGAGGCCCACCCAUUGCACUUGGCGUGUGCUGACCCCUGCGAUUUCCCCAAAUGCGGGAAACUCGACUGCAAAAUUUGUGUUAGUGGGGGACUGCGUACGCGCUCUCCCCUG
ensembl:snRNA U1 U1 spliceosomal RNA